rnacentral:rRNA from 1 species
GACGGAAGGUGCAAGCGUUGCUCGGAAUCACUGGGCGUAAAGCGUGCGUAGGUGGUUCGUUAAGUCUGAUGUGAAAGCCCUGGGCUCAACCUGGGAAUGGCAUUGGAAACUGGCGAUCUAGAGUGCGGUAGAGGGUAGUGGAAUUCCCGGUGUAGCAGUGAAAUGCGUAGAGAUCGGGAGGAACAUCUGUGGCGAAGGCGACUGCCUGGACCAGCACUGACACUGAGGCACGAAAGCGUGGGGAGCAAACAGG